GCUAUUUUAGUAAAAAAAAUUAUUUUACCUUGAUAAGGUGAAGUUUCCCCUAUGGAA
rnacentral:tRNA from 1 species